GUUAAGCGACUAAGCGUACACGGUGGAUGCCCUGGCAGUCAGAGGCGAUGAAGGACGUGCUAAUCUGCGAUAAGCGUCGGUAAGGUGAUAUGAACCGUUAUAACCGGCGAUUUCCGAAUGGGGAAACCCAGUGUGUUUCGACACACUAUCAUUAACUGAAUCCAUAGGUUAAUGAGGCGAACCGGGGGAACUGAAACAUCUAAGUACCCCGAGGAAAAGAAAUCAACCGAGAUUCCCCCAGUAGCGGCGAGCGAACGGGGAGCAGCCCAGAGCCUGAAUCAGUGUGUGUGUUAGUGGAAGCGUCUGGAAAGGCGCGCGAUACAGGGUGACAGCCCCGUACACAAAAAUGCACAUGCUGUGAGCUCGAUGAGUAGGGCGGGACACGUGGUAUCCUGUCUGAAUAUGGGGGGACCAUCCUCCAAGGCUAAA
rnacentral:rRNA from 1 species